CGCAACGAAAAGAAAGAUCAGGCGAUAAAGAAUAAAGAAAGAAAGCUAUGGGGAAAGAUCCCAGACCUGGCUCGCUCCAGGCGGAUUCACUUGAAUAGGAAGUUGAAUCGUGAGCAGGCUAUUGGAUUUCUUCCUCGCUACCCACCUUCUGUCUUCCUUACUUUCUAUCUUGUCUAAGCUUGCUGGAUUUUCCUCAUCCGCUGUAUUGAAUCAAAUCCUCAGUAGCCAUACCGAAAAUGAACCAAUGCCAACAGAGGAGUUACGGGCGAGCAAGAAAACCCUAUGGCUAAGAGGACUGCGACCGUGAAGGGAGGGAUGAGCCCGAAUGCCCACUUUGGGAUAUCCUCUGGGUCUUA
rnacentral:lncRNA from 1 species